rnacentral:misc_RNA from 1 species
AAGUCGUAACAAGGUUUCCGUAGGUGAACCUGCGGAAGGAUCAUUAACACGUAUCCACGUUUAUAAACCAACUUACAUACUCUGAACUGUGCUCCCUGGAAAUUCGACUUCGAUGCUGUCUGUGGAGGAGGCUGUAGUGGGUCUUGGUGUAAUGCUUUGACACGUCACCUUCACAUUCGGAUGCUUUGACAUCUGGGCUAGAGACUGAACGACCGGGCUUAAUCCUUUCACGUAUACUUCCAACCACUUUCGAACAUACGUGGGAGACCCAUAACAAACUAUUCACCCUAUUUUACCUAUUUUGGCAAUAUGAAAUACCAAGUCGACCACAACGUUGAGUCGAGUAGGAUUUCUUAAGAUUUAUCUUAACUAAGCACAACUCUUAGCAAUGGAUAUCUUGGUUCUC